UUUUUUAUUUCUUUUUUUUCUUAGGCAAAAGGAGCCAGAAGAGCAGGGGUAGAAUUCUAAUCUUGGCAGGGAAAGAGGAAGGCCUCAGUUUGGCUUCAGCACAGGCUGGAGUGAUUUCAGGUCCAUUUAAGAGGAUGAGCACCUGCACCAGGCUCUGACCACCCCCCCAAAACUGUCCCCCUCCCACUUGCCCAGCUCCCCUGACCCAGAACUAUCCCUUAUGGCUCUGGUUAGCAUGGUUUUCAAGUUGUGUGAAAUAGGAAAGAUCUGCUCUAAUCCUACUUUUCCCAAAAGCCCUGUUUUUUUUUUUAAGAGUACAUUUUACAGAACACAAAGUUUUAUAGGACACACACAGACGGUUACAGCAGAAACAUCUGCCCAAGGGAAGUCAAGGAUUAUAGAGAACCAGAUCACGGAUAGCCUCAGAAGCCAUUAUGAAACAGGGAGGCACUGGAGGGCAAGAGAUGAUCUGAUGUGCUGCAAAUAAACUGCUGGGGGGGAUGGGGAGAGAGAAGAUGAACAAGCGGGAGGCAGACAGACCAGUGAGGGGCCUUUGCAUCAGUCAGGUGAGAGAGGAUGGUGGCUCGGACCAGGAAGGGAGCAGUGACGGUGGCGUGAGAUAGUUAGGAUUUGCUGAUGAUUUGGCUUUGGGCAAGAAAGACAGGAGCAAAGAAGACUGCAGUAUUUUUCAGCCUAAGCAGCUGAAGGAUGAGGUGUCACCACCUGAGGUGGUAAUGAUGGGAGGAUGAUCCAAUUAAAGGUGGUCCAUUCAGUUCUGGUAAGGAACUAUAAAGUUCUGAGUGCCUGUAAAGCACUCAAGUGGAGCCUUCACUUAGGCAGUUGUAUAGACAGGUCCAUAGCAUAGGAGAGAUUAGUUUGGAAAUUUUCAGCAUACAGAUAUUAUUUAAAACCACAAGAGUAAAUAUAUUCAAAUUUUCAUCAAAUAUUGAUUUUUCCAGUGGCUCACUGGGCAGCUAGAGCACAGGCCAAGGUCGACAAAGCCUAUGGACUUUUUAAUUUUCAGCAUAAGAGCUUGGGUUCCUGGAGUGGAGAUGAGGAGAGCUUAUGGUGGAAAAGUUUGCAAAGGGCUGAAGCCUGGUUCUGGGUCAUUCUAACAGCAAGAAGUUGGGCUGACAAGCAAAAACAGCAACGAGCUUUUUACAAGGAAAACCUCUAAGGUAUGUGGAAAACUGGAGAAGUGUAGAGAACUGGACAUCAUGUAAGGAAGGGUAGCUGAUCAAACAGGCCAAAGAAGAGGAAGACUGACAUGCACUACUGAAUUCAGCAACCAGGAGAGGCUGAGCAGUUGUCCCAGUGGCCAGUUUCUAGCCAUUGUCUGACCAUAAUCAAUGGGGCAGAGACAGCUCUGCCAGGGAACUUUGUUGAAAAGGAUAGAAAAAUGGGGAGGGGGUGACUAAAGAAAGACACAGGAUCAAUGAUAUGUUUUAUAACACUGGGACAUUAUGGCAGGUUUUUAUGGUGUUUGAAUGAUCCAAUGGAGAGAAAAAAAAUCAAUACAAGAGAAAAGAGGGAGAAUUGCUGAGAAAAGGUCCCUUAGAAGGCAAGAGAAAAAGCAGGUGUCAUGUGAAGAGGCUCUUCUUUGAAGCUCUUUGGUAACAGGAGGAAGGCAUAGCCUAGGGCACCAAUUCUGGGAGGUGAGAAGAUGUGGUGGGAGCUUGUGGAUUCCCUUCUGAUGGCCUCUGGGGUUUGUCUGCAGUAUAGUAGGAAGAAAGGUUAUCAGGUUAUCAGAGCAGAGAUAGGAUAUGGGAAGUGUUUGGGGUUUGAGGAGAGAAUAUGAAAGUCAUUGUCUACAAGAGGAGGAGAGUGAAUGGACCAGGAAAACAGAGGUAUUCCUAGGGAAAGAAAGGGUUCAAGUAAGGUAACAUGCAACCAGUCCUCAGUGUAUGUUUUCUCCAGCCGCAUUUGGCUCUCGAGGCCAGGCAUGGUUUUGGAGAGCUGGAUUUUUUCUGGGCUGGGAUUUUGCCAGGCAAAAGUAUGAUGAAACUGAAGCACAAGAUUAGAAUAAACUACUAUGGUCAGAAUCUCUGUAUCUCCCACUCCCCACAACAAAUUCACAUGCUAAAAUCUUUGUCUUUUGUCUUUCUGAGGGCCACACCCGUGGCAUAUGGAGGUUCCCAGACUAGGGGUCUAAAUCAGAGCUACUGCUGCCGGCCUAUACCACAGCAAUGCAGGAUCCAAGCCGUGUCUGCAACCUACACCACAGCUCAAGGCAAUGCCGGAUCCUUAACACACUGAGUGAGGCCAGGGAUGGAACCCCCAACCUCAUGGUUCCUAGUCAGAUUUGUUUCUGCUGCGCCAUGAUGGGAACUGCCCACAUGCUGAAGUCUUAAUGCCCAGAGGUGAUGGUAUUAGUAGCAGGACUCUGGGGAGGUGAUGAGGUCAGGAGGGUGAAGCCCUCAUGAAUGAGAUUAGGGCUCUUAUAAAGGACACCGGCAGAGCUCCCUAGCCCCUUCCACCCUGAGAGGAUACAACAAGACGUCUGUGACCGGGAAGAGCACCCUCUCCCCACCAUGCUGACACCCUGGUCUCAGACUUGCAGCCUGAGAACUGUGAGCAGUACAUUUCUGUUGUUUGUAAGCCACUUGGUCUGUGGCAUUUUGUUAUAGUGACCCAGAAAGCACAAAGGUGUGAGCCGUGGAAGAAGGCCUGGGAUGCGGAUGUUUAUUUCUUGACAGCUGCUAGUGGAACGUGGACCAAGGCAGGCUUUAAGCUAUUGUCAUAUAGCAGAUGACAAUCCAUAGAUAUACAUUUCACAGAGUGGUAUCUUUUUGCCCCUCUCCCCCCCCCCUCUUUGUCUUUUUAGGGCCGUGCCCACAGCAUGUGGAGAUUUCUAGACUAGGGGUUGAAUUGGAGCUGUAGCUGCCAGCCUAAGCCACAGCCACUGCCACCCCAGAUCUGAGCCCACAUCUGUGACCUACACCACAGCUCACAGCAACGCUGAUCCUUGGCCCACUGAGUGGAGGGGGAGUGGCGGGCCUGGGGGGCGGGGUACGAACCUGCAUCCUCAUGGAUACUAGUUGGGUUUACCACCUCUGAGCCAUGAUGGGAACUCUCUUUUGCCCCUUCUUGCUAAAACAGUUUUCCCUUUCAAGCUGGUGAAGCAGUAACUCUAAACACAAACUUCUGGUUGGGAUAUAUAUAUAAGAUGGGUAAUGUCACUGUUUAUACUGAGAAUAAUCAUCUCU
rnacentral:lncRNA from 1 species